rnacentral:lncRNA from 1 species
GGGCAUCUUUGUACCCCUAAUUCUACUCCGAACACUUGUCCAUUUUUACCUCUCGUCUCACUCUUUUUUCUUUCUUUUUCGAGGUUCCGGUCACUUGCCCCUUUUUAUUUCCUCAUAUAUUUUUGCAUAACCCAUGCCUCUUCUGCAUUGAAUCUUUUUAGAGAGAGAGAAUAACAACACUUGGGACAAUGAGUGAUAAUAUUUUUAGGAAUUUUAAUGAAUGGUGGUUGAUGGUGUAGUAGAUGUGUGCCAGUG